UCUCCUCUCCACGCCUCACAUCCCACGCCCCACAUUCCCCGAGCUCCAUCAUCCUUCCGCCCCCUGAUGGAACCGGCGACCCACCCCACCCACCAUCGGUGCCGCCUCAGCAACCCCUCCCCUCUCGCCCCCACCACCUACCACCACCGACGUCCGAUCCACACCCUGACUAAACCCGCCCCACCUUCUUCCUCCCGAUGAGCCGCCAGGGGGCACACCAUAUUCCUCCGUCGGGACGCCCGGUUACAUCUCGACAGUCAAGGCGGGGUGAGUAGGGCCUCAUGCUGCUCGCUUGUGGGGAGAAGGAGGGGAUGUACCAGGCGGUGGCAGGAUUCAUUCCAUAGUGACCGGAUUUGUUCCCAUGGCCUGACGGACAAGCAUUGGCCGCAUGAACCAAGUAGGAGCGGAGAAAGCCGCCACGCCCCUCCAGGUUAGAUGCCCCGCCUCGGCCCCUCUCGCGCCGCCCUUCUGUGGUUUGCACCUUCGUGGCGGACGGCGAUGAGUCCUGCACCAUCCAGCUCCACACCCCGCAUGAAGUGCACAAUGGAUGCAUUGCUAUUCACCCUUCUCCCCCUCGUUCCUAUGCCACAUCCUCCUCCUUUUUCCCACCUGCUACCCUUCCUCUUCGUUGAGAAGGACAAGCCACCUCGUCGGUGAGGAUCCUAGUGACCACGAGCCAUCGAAUGAAGUGGACCGAACUGCAGACUCGUGGUGGUCGAGCUGCACGCCCCCUUAUGCAGAACUGCAUCAGAGUGUGAAGAUUCAGCGCACGAAGCGUGUGUGCUCGGAGGAGAGGUCGUGCAGUGUUGUCUUUUUCAGACUUGCAGCGCAUGGUAGCUUCCCCUUGCAUAUCAAAAGAUGGGUUGUCAUGAAGUUUGGCUAGUUCCACUUAUGAAAUUUCAUGUAAAAUAUAACUAUGUAUGGUUUCGCUCGGUGGGGUUUAUUUACGUGCAUGUUAUACUUCGGAAGAAAAUUGAUGUGGUUCAUUUUGUGGGAGUUGGUGGUUCACUUUAUAAAGAAAGACAAAGAGGAAAAGAAACUCCCAAUAGAAGUUCACUUCUUUUUCCAA